AUAUUGAGAAAACAUGUCUCCUAAAUUUAUUCUUAAUGUUAAGUGAUGGACACUGAUGAACACUGCGAUUAGAAUAAUGUAUUUUCUGCCCACAAAAUGAUAUUGGAAAUGAAUCACCCAAACUCAUAGGGGAUUGAGCCAAUGAUUUCUACACAUCAUUCAAGACUGCUGGAACACAAUGGGGAUUAUACCAUCAUGGAUUCUGGUUGGUGUACCUCUGAAUAGCAGAGUAAUUUGUUCGUUAGUGUGCUUUCCAAUUGAGGAGGUAAAAUAAUUCACUGAUUGGGCAUUAACUGUGUGCUAAACAUGGCUCCAAGUCUUUCCCCACAUUUCUUCAUUUAAUAAGUCUUAGAAACUAGAUGCCAUUGGAAUUGUGGCAAUGUCACCCGUCGGCAUGGUCACAUUAGGGGAAAGGCAAGUAUUUGCUCUUCUGCUCCCCGGGUAUCACUCUUUUUUUAAAAAAAAAAGAAAUCAUCUUUUUAUUUUAUUUUUUGUGGCCAAGCUGAAUCUUGACAUUCAAUUAAGAAGGGGUUCACAGGAAUCUGACAUUCAGUACUUCACGAGAAGCUCCCCUAAUUCAGAUGGAAACAGCAAUAUCACCAAGAAAUCCCUUCAUGGAGUGCUUGACAAAUAGACUGUUUUCUUUGAUUUGACAGUCUUUGCUGCAGUUAUAAAAAGCUGAAAGUCACAUUUGAAUAUUCCCAAGAAAAGCUGUAUGAGACCAAAUAUGUUAUGUAUUAGCUUUGAGUUGGAGGUGAAGACUGUGGGAUGGGAGGUGGAGAAUGAACACUGAAGGGCGGGGGUGGUGUUGAGAGAAAGGAAGCUCUUAGGGCCAUUAUUUACUGCCAAUUCUAGUUUCAAAAAUAAAGUCCUCCAUCUUGCCAACAGCCCUCAACAAAUUCUCACUGUCAGAAGGAACACUUAUCAAAGGUAGUUUCAUUUGGGAAGAAUUUUUAUUACACUAAUAAAACUUUAAAGCAUCUAACUACUGAUGAAUGCAUUAAAAAAAAGUCUUGGACCUGGAAGCAUGGCUCAGUGGUUAAGAGCACUCACUACUCUUGCAGAGGACCCAGAUUUAGUUCCCAGCAUCCACAUGGUGGCUCACAACUGUCUGGAACUCCAGUUCCAGGAGAGUGACACUUUCUGCUGGCCUCCAUGGGCACUAGUCACAAACAUGGUGCACAUAUAUAUGUGUACAUAUACAACAUUCAAGCACAUAAAAUAAAAUUAUAUAAAUCUUUGAAAAAAAACCUGACAAUAUUCAUCCAUUUGAACAGCAACACAUAUCUGAGAAAAAAAGCUCCCCAAAGCAUAGAUAACAAUGAAUUAUUUGCUGCAAGUAGUAAGCACGCUUUCAGCCCUAGCACUCAGGAGACAGAGGCAAGCAGAUCACUGAGCUCGAGAUCAGCUUGGUGCACAUAGCAAGUUCCAUGCUAGCAGAGUUACAUGGUAAGAGCCUAUUUAAAACAAACAAAAUGAUCAGAUUAUUUAAGCCAAUAUGAAGUCUAAACCCAGUCAAAGAGAUAAUCCAAGACAGCUGAUUUAAACCAGACGUAAGUAAGAAUGGAAAUCAGGAAGGCUUCCAGUUGGGGCCUGAAUUAAACAGUGUGAUGAAAGACUAGCUUAGAGUUAUUAGGACACACGGAAACAGCACUCAGAAUCAGUUUAGGAUGUCUCUGUGCAAACUUGAUUUACAGAGUGUUUGCUGUAAAUAACUAGGCUGAAUUUAGGCAAAAACAAGAGAAAGCACAUGAGAUGAUGCAGUCAAUAAUGACUUCAGUCCACACAAUGUCAUUAUUUAACUUUUUAGAUUUGUCUUUAAUUAUGUAUAUGUGUGUUGAAGGAAGUAUGUAUACACAAGUGCAGGUGCCCAAAGAGGUCAGAGGUAUCAGACUCCCUUGAAGGUGGUUGUGAGCUACACUUGGUGAAGGUGUGGGGAAUCAAACUCAAGCCCUCUACACGAGAAGUAUGAGCUCUUAACCCUAAUCUACCUCUCCAGCACCCACUUCUGCCCAAAUUGGUUAUUUCACAGUGCAGAUUCUACUUAGCCACAUGCUAUGCACUGUUGCUGCAGAAACUAAGGAGAAUGCACUGGUGACCAAGCAUAGGAGUUAGCCCAACAGCAGGGUUUGAAGGAGGGGUUCCUCUGCUUUUAGUAGUGACUGUUUUCAGAUCCACAGCCUCAGAGAACCUAAAAACCAGGUCAUGCUGCAUGCACACAGCCUGGACAGUUACAAAGUCUGGAUAGUCUGGGUUUGCCAACAUUCCAACUUUUGGAUUCUCACCCUAUAGCAAGGCAGCCUUGCAGAGGGUCCACUGAAACACUGACUGGGAAAAUAAAAGGUAAUUCUUGAGACUGUCCAGGGAAAAAACUAUUGUGCAGUCAAGCGGAGUGUGGUGGUGCACUCAGGAGGCUGAGGGAGGAGGAGAUCAAGUUUUAGGCCAGCCUGGUCUACAUUGCAAGACGCUGUCUUUAAAAAGAAAAGACUGAAUCGACAUGUCUACUGAACAUGUGUGCUCGAUGAUGCAGAAUCCCUGGCAGCUCCUUAAAUUGCUUCUCUGGUGUCAAACAGAACCGGACCCUUAAGCUGUUUGGUUAUUUCCUUUGGAUUUGAAGAGAACUGUUUGUUCAGCGCUCGUGUUCCAAACAUGUUUGUGAUUUCCAUCUGAAGUCAGAUUGCCAUGGUUUCCGCACAUUCCGGCUGACUUAGUAAAACUCAAUCCUUGUGAAAUUGGCUGCAAAUGAAGCACCUAAUUCCAGUUUCUAGGCAUAAUCUGAUUAGUCCUUUUCGUGUUAUAAUAAUGAGCAGUGAGUGCUCAGCAUUUUCUUCUUUUCCUUUUUGUUUUUUUGGCUCAGAAUGAACACAGAGCUUUUUCCUGGCAUCACAGUGUACCUUUCCAAAGAGAGAGGAUGGUGUCUGAGGUAUAUUGCCACACAACACCCUUAUUAACAGGCUGCUGAUUGCUACAAUUUACAUCAAUGAAGAGCGGAUCCCUCUGAUUUCACGUGGGUUUCAGACAAGUUGGGAUGGACCAGAAUCUUCCAAAGCCCUUGUUCUGAAAGUGGCCUUCCCAAAGCUCCUGCAACGGUCGAUAUUCCGUGCCACAGGCUAUUUGGUGCAGUGGACCAGAGGCUAAUAAAACUGUCCUUAUGCAUAAGCCACAGUACUAUGUGACUGUGUCUGGGCCAGGAACCAAGGCGUGCUAUGAUUUCAGAGCCCGGAUUCCUGUCACCUGGGGAGGAGACACGCUCCGGUGACGUAAGAAAGCAGAUAAAUCAACCAUCCCCAAGACCCGCGGCCUCCGAAAUUAAGGGAGAAAAUCCGUGCAGUUGGUUCAGUUGGCACCCAUUAAAGCUAAUAACUAAUCAUUCUCGCAAGUUUCUAGCUCAGAACGAUGAGAUCUGUAAAGAAAACAACAUCCGUCCACUUUUACACUCCAGUGGAAGGGGUGGUCCCUCGCGGCGGGGCGGCACAGUCUCGCCAUCUGGAGAAUAAAUCGAGUGUGAAGUACAGUAUAGUUUGGGACCAAGCUCCGUGGCGGCCGCUCAGCAGUCAGUUCAUUAGCCCCAAACUUCCAGGGAUUAGAGGGGCAUCAAUUCUACUGUCGGAUAGGAUAAGACAGACAGGGCACGGGAUUCAAGAAGCCUUGAGACAUCCAGGAGCCCCCUCGGGUUUAUUUACAGAAUCACAAAGUAUAAACACACUCAAAUAAGUGCCUUAAAUAACAGCAUCAUCAGUUCCCUAACAUCUGAAUGAACACCUUCCCUCUGUGCCCCACCCCAAACCGUGAAGUAAAAGUAUACCUUUUUCCAGGACAGGGGAAAGCUCGCCUCCACCAGACGCUGAGAUUUGGUAAUUAAGAAACAGAAAGGGCCUUCUAGACUCAGGGUAGGUGUGCAGCAUUUGUAAUUAAAAACAUACAUAAAAUUAAUAUUUUCAUUCCAUAAAGAUAAAUGUCAUGUUUUAUGUUCCAAAGCACUAGUAAAUUCUACCUUUUAUAGAUUGGUCCAUCUUAACCCAUUUCCAUUUCAUCUCACUUGUAAAGUGAGGUCACAGGUGUGGACUCUUCCAAGUUUUGAGCAUAAGGCCUUGAUAUCAGCAUCUUUAUAUUAAAAUUGUCAAUGUCAAAAAAAAAAACCCAAAACAGUUUGUGUGAACUGUUCCACCUACAGACUCCUUUUUCAUCUGUUUUCUAAACAUCUGUAAUAAAAAGCAGAAACGCCUGUGACAAAACAGGUCGUCAUAAGGAGACCAUGCUGCAUUUCUUCACUAGUGUUCAGAAUUUAUCAUUACAGGAGUCACUAAGAGGGAUGUAGUAACCAAAUCGAAAAACAUGUUCCCCAAUUCCUGCAAACUGGCAGUGUGUUUCAUUAGGCAAGAGACGGUGUUGGCAUUUAAUAAGGCAUUAAUUGUACAAAAUAAUGAGUUUUGUUCUGACUUUUCAAAUAUGCACAGGACUUGCUUUGAUCCUAUGAAUUUCUAGCUCAUUGGUUUUUGUUGUUGUGUGGAAAAGAAAUCUUGGUUUGUCUUCUGAAAGGAAAAAAAAGAAAAGAAGAAAGGAAAGAAGGAACAGAGAAAAGAAAACCUCGCAUUGAUGACAUUCGGUAUUUAACUGACUCAAUUUCAUGCCUUGAGUCAUCCUACAGCCUUGGACAUGCCAUCCCUAUUCACUCUGCAACCAUAGAUUUUGAUACAGGAGAAUUUUUAAUAUGUUAAUCAUGAAAGGUACAUUAAAACAAGGGCUUAUGGCAAAAAAAAAAUACAAACCAUCUUUCAUUUCAAGGACUGA